AUAGAUCCUGGCGUUUCGCCUCUCGUGCGGCCGGAAAAACUCCUGCGUGGCCGAGAUGAGCUUGUGCGUUUUCCGCUUAAUUCCCGGAGUAUGCACUAAAAAGGCACCGUCGAGCACAACUAGCCGAUAAUUCAGCAGACACAUCUCGAACAUCUGUAUACAAGGACAUCUCUUCCGUGUAAAGCGGAUCCUCGCGCGUACCGAUGAAAACCGGCUCCCACCUAUGAUGAGGAUAUUCCCUUUUGGUGAUGAUCAACGGUCGGACUCUGCCCGGAUCCGGCCUGAUCAUCCACCUGGUCAAUCCGGGAAAUCGCUGGCAGUGCGGACAGAGGAACCUACGAAGGAUUCACCUUGUUACAUCCAUCUUAUUUGAACAUAGUUUCGCCAAAGAUGCUUCAUUUCACGGAGAAAUCUUAUGUAAACAUAGACCGGCUCGACAAGCAGCGAGGAGCUCGCGCUUCGUCGCCGGCGGCGGUUCGUUGGACUCUAUCUCGAAGACGGGCACGACGAAGAUCACGCCGACCUUGGGCGGCCUCCGACGUACCAUGUCCAUGAAACCGGAAGCUAGUCGCGCGCUCGGCAGCAGCUCAAUGUCCGAUACCAACACGCGGGACGUGUUCGCCGCCGUCCUCGCCACGUUCCGGGCGACAUUGAUCGGAUAUGUCAUACUCCUCUUUUGUCUCUCGGUCUCGGCUUGUCGCCAUUGAAGAUCAGAGGCGGCGCAAUCGCCUUGAACACGACUCUUCGCACUUAGAGCGGGUGGUCGACCGGCCGGAAACACCAAGUGGACGGAAACCUGCAAUCAUCGAAUCCUUAGAUCAAGAUGCGAAUUCUGUACUGUAGAAAACAGGAUAGUAGGAGAAAGCAUAGAAUGUCCUAGAAGCACUCAUGCAUUUAUGGACUUCCGGAUAUAUCGACAAAAGUAUGAAAACUUUGAGGGUCGAUGAGUAUUGCAUGACAUUGCAUUCAUGACAUGGAAAUUGAGGAAGACCUUGUACAUGGCAGG